GGAGAAUCCCAGGGACGGGGGAGCCUGGUGGGCUGCCGUCUAUGGGGUCGCACAGAGUCGGACACGACUGAAGUGACUUAGCAGCAGUAGCAGCAGCAGCAGGAGAGAGGCUACGUUAUGCUGUGUGGUUAUGUUAUGUUACGUUGUUAUGUUAUGUUAGUCUGCUGCUACGGCUGCUGUGCCAGACAGGAGAGAAUAAAAAGUUCUAUUCAACCCCUGGGUUGGGAAGAUCCCCCGGAGAAGGGAAAGGCUACCCACUGCAGUAUUCUGGCCUGGAGAAUUCCAUGGACUACAUGCAGAGUCGGACACGACUGAGCAACUUUCACUUUGAUUCAUCUAUUCGAGUUCCAGCUAAGAUGUGAUUUCCUCAGAGAAAUGCUUCCUGACCCUCUCCCUGCCCCAAAGCUGACCCCCUAUUUUGUUCUCCCUCAAAGCAUCUUUUACUUUUCCUGCAUAGCAGUUACCAGAAUUGUAGUAAAAUUAUUUGCUUAUUUAAAGUCCAUCUUUCUAGGCAGUCAGAAAUGUGCAUGAGGGCAGAAACUCAUGUCUCUAUUGGUCAGUAUGAGGCACAUGGUAGGAGCUCAGUGCAUAUUUUUGAACUCAUGUAGGUGCUCCUAAGUCCUACAUGGAUGUCCUGUCUCUCAAGUUGAACUAGAUGUUUCUAGUUGGACUAAAUGUUUUCUAAUUAAUUGUCUCCUCACAUAAUACCUGUACU